CACGCUUCCCGCGGAGACCCCGCGUGGGACCCAUCCCCCACGACCCCACCACCUCCCCCUCCACCUGGCCGCGCGCCGCGCGCGUAUUAAACGGCCUCCUCCUCCGCCUCGCUCCUCUCGCACCAACGCCACAGACCAACACCGCAGCACGCACCACGCGCCCCCCCACCCUGUGAUCGCUCGCCGUGGUCUCGCCGCCGCGCCGACCCCUCCACCGGCAUUCGAUUCGGAGCCCAGCUCGUCCGGCGGCGCGGAGCCAUGGGCACGGUUGUGGAUGCUCCCGCAGUUGUGACUGAGAAGGAGGUGGUUGCUGAGAACAUGUUGGGUGACAAGAAAGUCACAGUAGUAUUUGUUCUUGGUGGUCCUGGAAGUGGAAAGGGCACACAGUGUUCCAACAUUGUUGAACACUUUGGAUUCACCCAUCUUAGUGCUGGAGAUCUUUUGCGCGCGGAGAUUAAAUCUGGCUCUGAGAAUGGAACUAUGAUUGAGAACAUGAUAAAGGAGGGAAAGAUUGUUCCGUCGGAGGUGACUAUAAAGCUCUUGCAGCAAGCCAUGAUAAAGAAUGAGAAUGAUAAGUUCCUCAUCGACGGGUUUCCAAGGAAUGAAGAGAAUCGUGCUGCGUUCGAGAAUGUUGUAAGCUCGUCUACUCCUUGCACUUCAAAAUUGAUGUUCGUUCACUUUUCAGUGCCAACUCACAUAAUAGUUCAGCAGCUUCUUCUUGUCUUCCAUCAUAAUGUACGUAUAAAUGACUUUGCAAGAUUGCUGAUUGCUUCACAUUUUCUCAGACAAAAAUUUCGCCUGCAUUUGUGCUGUUCUUCAAUUGUUCCGAGGAAGAGAUGGAAAGACGUCUUCUGGGACGCAAUGAGGGUAGAGUUGAUGACAACAUCGAGACUAUCAGGAAGAGAUUCAAAGUUUUUGUUGAAUCCAGUUUGCCUGUGAUUGAGUACUAUGACGCGAAGGACAAGGUUAAGAAGAUCGAUGCUGCAAAACCAAUUCCUGAGGUGUUUGAAGAUGUCAAAGCCAUUUUUGCCCCAUAUGCCAAGGCUACAUAGAACAGUAUAAAGGACCACAAAGGUGAUAAAUGGAAUGAUUUCAUACAAGGUUUUGCUCAAGUGUGACUACAUAUCUGUGAUUACAAACCCUUAAUAUAGAUCAGACUUAUCAGUAGACAAUUUGAUUUGUUGCCAGCAAUAAGUUAGAUCUGGUUUGUGGUGUUUCUGCUAGAAGUUUUUAUUUACCACCCGUUGUUGGUGUAUCCCAUGUAGUGUACCUGUACCAUUGUGUAAUUUACUGCAAGGACGAAUCAGACCUUGUGCCCAUGAGCUAUCCGGUUGUAUUACAGAAAAUUGAACUUAUCACAUGUUCACUCAUAUUUACAUUCUUUAUACACUGUUGGUUCUUCUGUUGAA